GAUGAACGCUAGCUACAGGCUUAACACAUGCAAGUAGAGGGACCGGCGCACGGGUGAGUAACACGUAUCCAACCUGCCCUUUACUCGGGGCUAGCCUUUCGAAAGAAAGAUUAAUACCCGAUAUAAAGGAUGGGGAUGCGUUCCGUUAGGUUGUUGGUGAGGUAACGGCCCACCAAGCCUUCGCUGGAUAGGGGUUCUGAGAGGAAGCUCCCUCACAUUGGAACUGAGACACGGUCCAAACUCCUACGGGAGGCAGCAGUGAGGAAUAUUGGUCAAUGGGCGUUAGCCUGAACCGGCCAAGUAGCGUGAAGGAUGAAGGCUUAUGGGUCGUAAACUUCUGUUAUGUAAGAAUAUGUAUCAUAUGAAUAAGGAUCGGCUAACUCCGUGCCAGCAGCCGCGGUAAUUC
rnacentral:rRNA from 1 species